AGUGAACGCUGGCGGUAGGCCUAACACAUGCAAGUCGAACGGCAGCACAGUAAGAGCUUGCUCUUACGGGUGGCGAGUGGCGGACGGGUGAGGAAUACAUCGGAAUCUACUUUUUCGUGGGGGAUAACGUAGGGAAACUUACGCUAAUACCGCAUACGACCUACGGGUGAAAGCAGGGGAUCUUCGGACCUUGCGCGAUUGAAUGAGCCGAUGUCGGAUUAGCUAGUUGGCGGGGUAAAGGCCCACCAAGGCGACGAUCCGUAGCUGGUCUGAGAGGCUGAUCAGCCACACUGGAACUGAGACACGGUCCAGACUCCUACGGGAGGCAGCAGUGGGGAAUAUUGGACAAUGGGCGCAAGCCUGAUCCAGCCAUACCGCGUGGGUGAAGAAGGCCUUCGGGUUGUAAAGCCGUUUUGUUGGGAAAGAAAAGCAGCAGGUUAAUACCCCGCUGUUCUGACGGUACCCAAAGAAUAAGCACCGGCUAACUUCGUG
rnacentral:rRNA from 1 species